UAAUAACAUUAUUUGUAUUGCUCACUUACGGUCAAUACCAGGACCUUAAAAUUUGCUUGCUACGUUGUAAAAGAUAUCCUCCACAACGAAAGGUAGUAUGUGUGCAUUACUGCAACUACAGAUACGGAGAAAUUAAAUUUCCAGGAUUUAUUGACUAAGGAACUAUUCUUUAUAUAUUCAACAUACAAUGCAAUUCCUGCAAUAUCAGUACUAAGAUGUAAAACAUGUAAUGACGUUUCCAAAAUGCUAAAAAGGAAAUAAAUUAAUUAUUUAUUAUUAUAUAACGAUUUA